rnacentral:lncRNA from 1 species
CUGGCUAGUAAUAUAGCAGACACGUUAUAUUUACGAUGGUGAGAGGCAUGCCAUUAUUGAAUUUUUAAAGUGACCUCUUAAGCAUCAACUGUGCAUGGCUUUUGUGAUUAGGACCAAGAGAUAGGUUCAUCGGCCCUAGAAGUUCCAAGUGUGUAACUUGGUCUAGAGUUUCAAAACCAGACGCCAGAAUAAAGCCUCCCCUUUCGGUGAAACUGCUGCUUUUCUACAAAGUGGCUGUUGCCUCAGUGAUUC